CGUCUAUAUACGUAUAGCAUAUCAAUAAGCGGAGGAAAAGAAACUAACUAGGAUUCCCUCAGUAACGGCGAGUGAAGCGGGAAGAGCUCAAAUUUGAAAUCUUCAAGGUUCUACCUUGACGAAUUGUAGUUUAAAGAAGUGUUUUCUGUUGGAGUUUUGGUAAAAGUUCUUUGGAAUAGGACAUCAUAGAGGGUGAGAAUCCCGUAUUUGACCAUUAUUUCCAACUUUGUGAUAGCACUUUCAAAGAGUCGGAUUGUUUGGGAAUGCAGUCCAAAAUGGGUGGUAAAUUUCAUCUAAAGCUAAAUAUUGGCGAGAGACCGAUAGCGAACAAGUACCGUGAGGGAAAGAUGAAAAGAACUUUGAAAAGAGAGUUAAACAGUACGUGAAAUUGUCAAAAGGGAAGCGUUUGACACCAGUGUUGUUUUCUCGAAAAUCAAUUAAAAAUGGCAGGAUUUUGUGUUGUAUUGACUUUAUCAGCUUUCUGCACUUUUUUCCUUGUCUUUUUUAAUGCACUUUUCGUUUAACAAGUCAACAUCAAUUUCUUUUGUUGUAAAAGAGGUCAUUGGAAGGUGGCUUUCCUUUCGGAGAAAGUGUUUAUAGCCUUUGACUUCUGCAAUCGGAGAGAUUGAGGUCUGCAGCGUAGAUCCUUCGGGGUUAGAUACAUUUGUGCUAAGCUUAUAGCCUUUCAUAGACAACUUGUUGACUAUGAUCAGUCAUGUAGCUUACUCGCUUAUGCUAUUUUACCUACGCUUAGGAUGUUGACGAUCAGCUGAGCGCG
rnacentral:rRNA from 1 species